rnacentral:tRNA from 1 species
GCGGACGUCGCAUAGCCUGGUAUCGCGCCGGAUUUGAAAUCCGGUGGUAUUUCGCCGCGGGAGUUCGAAUCUCUCCGUCCGCGCCA